UGCUAUCCGCUCCUAAAUUCUCACACCAUGUCAGGUGUUUAGAAGUGAUGAUCAUUGUGGUCUUUAGUUGUCAUGGCUGUAAUCCUAGUGCAUGGGCUUUUGUGGGCUGGUCCAACCGGAGUUGGUUGAUGGCAGGGCUGUGCUCCAGGGACCGUAUGGCUGAAGAAGGGAUGCAAAUGGUUUUACAGUGAAGAGCUGAAGAAGUUGUGACGGCGAUGAAAGGACUGAAAGAUUUGCUCGAAGCAAAGACAUCUAGCCGAGAUACAUAUGCAACGAAGAGGAGGGAUCUUAUGUAUAAUAUGCGACAUCCAUGGUGCUUAAGG